AAAUGAAACUAGAUUUCUUGUAAGUGGGAUGUGGUUAUGGGAAUUAGGCUCAAUAAAUACAGCUACACACAUACAAUUUGGACAUUUCAUCAAGGAGCUGCCAUAAAGUAGUGGGGAGCCAUCCACCGAAGGCAACCAAUCUGAAACUCUAUAAACAAAGUAAUUCACUCAUUGUGGAGUGAGAAGAGCUAUCUACAUCUACCAGCCAGCAAGUCUUCCAUCGCCUCCACCAAGCAGCCAUCUUCAAACUUGAAAAGAAAGGGAAAUGGAGCGUACUAAUUCAAGAGCUAUAGAAGAUAAUUAUUUCAGUGGAGAGCAUAAGAAUAUCACCACACUGAAAAAUGAGGCGAUCCUUAAUACAAAUGGGUACAUUUAUAAUCCCAUUCCACCACACCCAGAAGAACCUGAGUUUCACAUAUCCAAAGUGGUCCAUGUCACCAAAGGAUCUAAAAUUGAUGAAAUCUUGGAUUCAAAUGGAUUUAGGGGCGGAUAGGAGUCUCCUGUGGUGGAGCCUAGCCAUCGAGCAUGAUGAUAUCAGAGCUGCAGAAGACCGUUACCUGGAGAAGAUCUUCCCAGACAGAACACCAGGGCAGAGAGAGGCACAGAGAGAGAUAGGUUCCUUCCUGAAUCAGUUCACCACCUCACCUGCCUUUAGGCAGGCAUCGCGUUAUGGGAACUUCAGGUUCACUCUCAGUCUGUCUGAUCUCCUGAAGAUGUACAGAGAGCAGAUAUGUGGUGGAGAAAAGCCUGUCCUGAAAGUGUAUGAAAGCACUGUCUACAAACAGGAGAUAAUGUACUCUGUGCUUGUUCACUCUCCAAGUGUGGAUGAGUUUGAGGAGUACCCAUUUCUUGGUGAUGGCAGUGAUGAUGCUGUCUGUGGUUACAGGGAAAACGAUGUAGAGGGGGAAGGAAAAGGACACAUUGUCUGGCGAGCACAAUCCAUGUCAGCAACACAAAAAGUUGGGUUAACCAUAAACAACAUGGACAAAAUAGUAGAAACAGAUGGUAAUGUUUACAAUAAAUGGUACAUGUGGGACCAUGUGACCCUGGCGCUCCACCUGCCAGAAGGCCUGCUCCUAAAUGUUGAUAGAGAGAAUCUGAUCAAAAACCUCACUGCUUGUGAGGCUGAUAAACCGUUUCUUGGGGGUCAUCGCAUGUCCCUCUUAGAUGCUGAGACAAAAGUUCAGAACUUAAACAACUAACUCUGGAACUGAUUAACAAAAUCAGUCAGGCAGGUUACAUUAAAUGUUUAAGGAUAAUCAAUUAACAAACCAUAAAAACAUUAUAUUAUGGUAUACCAUUAACCAUUUUCCCUUUUUUCAUUUUUUUGCACUCAAAUGAACUGUUUAGGGGGGAAAUAUUUGUCUCAUUCAAUAUUUGUCCCACAAUUUAAAACGCUUAUGCCAUAUUUAUAAAAGCACCAGAUGUCAGGGCUUUAUAUCACCCUAUGUCGUGUGACGAUUUAAAUCAUUUAAGCAUCUAUGCAGUUCUUAUGAAGAAAUGCUGAAUGCCUUAUAAAGCUUUUUUAACUUGUUAUUUUUGUGGGACCAAAAUGAUGUUGUGUUAUGUAUUUUUAGGUUACUGUGUCAUAUUGGGGUCAUUUAUGGUCACUAAUAGAUUUAGUGUGAUGGGACUGCAGUGGCAGUAUUUACCACUCAUUCCCACUUUCCUCUAUACAUUUCUGAAUGAUGUAUGUAUAUUACAGCUUUUUGUUUACACUCUUUGAGUCUCUGUAUUGCUACAUAACGAUGAGUAUCAUGUAAUAUUUUCUCCAAUCUAAUUGAACACAAAAAGGAUGUUUUAAAUGAGAAGGUAGGGCUAAUCAAAUUAAAUGCAAGAUUUGAACUGUUCUAUUAACUGUUGUUUGUGUGCAAAGUUACACAUCAAAUCCACACUGUUUGCCUUUUUUGGGAAUAAAUUAUGUAAAUGUCAUCACAA